UGAAAGUACCGAAAUUACACCUUUUAUGUUCAAGCAAUGGUUUGUGUAGCAGGUAUUCUGCAGAAUUUAUAGACUGCACAACAAAUGUCCUCUGUGUCUAUGGGAAGCUAGUCACUUUUGACUGUACAGUGAAACCUUCUGUUGCCUGUGUUGAUUAGGAGUUAAAAUCCCAAAGUAACUUUCUCAUCAACAUGACUUGAUUUUGAUGGAAGCCUCCAGAAACAGAAUAUGAAUGUUUCAAUUCUACCAGCUGCAUGAGGUCCUGUCCUCAACGGCAUUAUGCUGCCAAAUACAUGAUAAACACAUUCAUGACUUGGGUAACUACUUUUUUCAAAAUGCUGCACUGAAAUUGGGCUGGAGGCUAUAAGUGGUCUAUUGCUCUGGCUCUAAGCAUCACCCUUGGUGGCUUUGGAGCAGACCAUUUCCACCUCAACCAGUGGCAAGAAGGCCUUGGCAAGCUCUUCAGCUUCAGUGGCCUGGAAAUAUAGACACUAAUAGACAUCUUGCUAAUUGGAGUUGGCUACAUUGGACCAGCAGAUGGCUCUUGAUACAU
rnacentral:lncRNA from 1 species